CCGGACUGGCCCAGGGAGGUCGGCAACGACCACCCAGGGCCGGAAAGUUCGUCAAACUUGGUCAUUUAGAGGAAGUAAAAGUCGUAACAAGGUCUCCGUAGGUGAACCUGCGGAGGGAUCAUU
rnacentral:rRNA from 1 species